rnacentral:sRNA from 1 species
CAUACUUUUUAUUAAUCACUCACACAUAUCGACACAUGCUCCGGGGUGCCCGCCAUUUUUAAUAAGCCCAUUACGGACUUAGGUAAAAUGGAUAGAGGGUCGGUAGGAUGGGAUAUGUGGACGCCUAAC